rnacentral:pre_miRNA from 1 species
AAAGUACUCCCUCAAUCCCAAAAUUCUUGUCUUAGAUUUGUCUAGAUACGGAUGUAUCAAGUCACAUUUUAGUAUUAGAUACAUCCGUAUCUAGACAAAUCUAAGACAAGAAAUUUGGGACAGAGGGAGUAGUUG